AUCACUACCUCUUGACAAGUUACCCACGACAUGUAUCAUAAUAAAAGAUAAAAGAGAAGUCUUUCAAGUUUCACCAUCUACAAUUAAAAUAAUAAUUACUAAUCUAUUUUUUCUUUCACAAUUUGCUCUAUAAGACGAUGUUUGGUGUUUGGCAACAAAGUGGCAUGCAAUCUAGACAGCUGAAAUAUGAAUCUCUUGAGAGUUAUUACAGGAAACAAGAGCUGCAUUAUUUUCAUGUAACAUGAGAGGUUUGUGCUCUAAGCUUCAGUCUUCAGAUCAAAAAUUCAUUGAAGAGAUAAAAGGAAGAUAAGAUUCCGUAUAAGAAUAAUAAGGUAAGAAAAUUGUUUCGUGAAUAAAGAAGAAAAAGAUAGGAAGUAUCAAGAAGCUGGAAAACUCAAGCGAAUUGUAAAGCCAUUGAUUGUAACCAUUUUUUUUUUUGGUAGUGUUUGUUAUAUUCUUUCGAUUUUUCUGAUAUGCAGAUACUUGUAUAAUGUCGUCUGUAUCAUAAUAGUAGCAUCAAA